UACGUAGGGAGCGAGCGUUAUCCGGAUUUAUUGGGCGUAAAGCGUGCGUAGGCGGUUUAUUAAGUUUAAGAUGAAAGGCUGGGGCUCAACUCCAGUUUGUCUUAAAAACUGGUAGGCUUGAGUAUGGCAGAGGUAAAUGGAAUUUCUAGUGUAGCGGUGGAAUGCGUAGAUAUUAGAAGGAACACCAGUGGCGAAAGCGAUUUACUAGGCCAAAACUGACGCUGAGGCACGAAAGCGUGGGGAGCAAAUA
rnacentral:rRNA from 1 species